CUUAAGAGGUGAGGGUGAGAAAAAAUUGUAUAAAAGGGGAGAGAAAAGUUGGCAGGGAAUAGUCGAUUGAGUAUCUCCGGCAAGGCAACAACUGCGUUCUUUGUCGUAAUAUCAGCUCGCAAUCAUGGUUGAUAAUGGCGUUGGGUUGCUGUUGGGUGUUGUAUCGUUGAUGCCGAGCACGAGAGAGAUAAGGCGAUAGAAAUAAAUCGAGCGAGGAUCUCCGACACGGUCAUAACUGCAUUCUUCGUGGUAUUAUCAGCUCUCAAUCACGGUAAACUAUGCCGUCGUGCUGUGCUACACACUACAACUGAUGCUGCUCCAUGCUACUAAACCAUAGCCCCGAAGAAUUGCCCCAAUUGCCCACAAAGCCCCAAAAAGUGAAG